rnacentral:rRNA from 1 species
UAGGGAAUCUUCCGCAAUGGACGCAAGUCUGACGGAGCAACGCCGCGUGAGUGAAGAAGGAUUUCGGUUCGUAAAACUCUGUUGUUAGAGAAGAACAGCGCAUAGAGUAACUGUUAUGCGUGUGACGGUAUCUAACCAGAAAGCCACGGCUAACUACGUGCCAGCAGCCGCGGUAAUACGUAGGUGGCAAGCGUUGUCCGGAUUUAUUGGGCGUAAAGCGAGCGCAGGCGGUCAAUUAAGUCUGAUGUGAAAGCCCCCGGCUCAACCGGGGAGGAUCAUUGGAAACUGGUUGACUUGAGUGCAGAAGAGGAGGGUGGAAUUCCAUGUGUAGCGGUGAAAUGCGUAGAUAUAUGGAGGAACACCAGUGGCGAAGGCGACUCUCUGGUCUGUAACUGACGCUGAGGCUCGAAAGCGUGGGUAGCAAACAGG